UGCUGAUGGAAACCAUGUAUUUGGUGUUUGUUAUUAGUGCUUCAAGCUGAGGGGCAUGGCAGGGUCCCUAGUUCCAGCACCACUGGAGGUAGGUUUACCCUCAUAACAAAUGUUAGCUAGAUGCUUAGAGGCCAUUGUAGGCAGGGGAGUUGUAUCUGUCCCAAGAGAGAGCGACAGCUGAGAUAAGGAACUGUGAUAAAAAACCCCAGUAAAAACUGUCAUUCAGCAAACUUCCUCUGAGAGAGAUCACAAGAGGAUAAAGUAGGUACAGUUUUCUUGCCUUGUUGCAGAAGGCAGUGGCCACCACGAAGCAGCUCAUCUCCCACCUUCUGGUUGACAAGUGUCGGAAUUUGUCUACUUGUCCUCCUUUUGCAACCUGUGAAAACAUCCCCGGAGGCUACCAGUGCACCUGCAAUCAGGGGUUUGCAUCUAGUUCUGGGGAGGAACACUUCACUGAUCCUGCAGUAAAGUGUGUUGGAACUGAUGACAAUCCAGAAGGAAAAACUUGUGUGUUCAUCAGCUAUGCAAAAUGUCGUGAGGCUUUGAAACUGGAUCUUAAUGACUAUUUAAUCUGGGGCCUCAGAAGUGAUUUGUGGGCCUUGAGAGCCAAUAUCUCCUAUGUCAUUGGCAAAGACACUUGGAUUGAGAAGUGGCCAAGUGAGCACAAAAGCCAGGAGGCAGAUUUUAAGAACCUGUGCACAGAAUAUCUGGAGUUCUCCCAAGACAUCAUGAUAUUCAGCUGCCCACAGUCAACAUAGAAAUGGCCAUCGCAGUGGCCUGAACAGGAUAGUUUGAGCUGAGCUGGAGCAUAAUGCUCAGGCCAAGACACUUUCACUGGCAGGAUUCCUUCUGCAACGUCUUCAUGAGGAAUCUGAAGUGGGGUCUUCCCUAGGAUAUCAAAAGGCCUUUCCUAGUGUAAAAGUAAGCUCCUGUGAAAAGCAUUUUACCUCUGGGUCAGCAGCUGAAAUCCUGCCCAGCUUGCCAUUCACAUGGGAAGCUCAGACCAGGAGUCCCUCUACAAGGAAGUAGCAGUAAUCAAGCAUUGGAAGGAAAAGGAUGUGUCUCACCUGUGGCUUCCUGGAGAUGUGAUCGGUCUUUCUCAAUCCCCAGCCUAACCCCAGCAACCUCCUUGGACACUGAAAACAGUGGGGGCAGAAAAGAACUGCUGUACAUGGGCGCAUUGAAGGGACAGACCCCAUCCAUGUGCAACCCCUAGGAUUUUAUUGCACGUCUUGUGACAAGGGAACUGUUUAUGCCCAACCUCUUGAGAAACAUCAGCAGAACAUACCAUUAAGAGGUUGACUGUUAAACACAUUGAAUUCUUUGGACAUCUUCAAUUCUAAAAGGAAGAUGAGAAAAUGAGGAGUUUCCAUUUUAAAUAACAACACAGGACCUCAUGCUGCCCCACCCACAUGUUCCACCACUGAGGAGCACUGGAGGACCAUUGACCCAGGAGUCUGUGAAAUUUCUAGUGCAAGCACAGUCAUUUACAAGGAUGUAAAUGGGUUUCAUUUAUAGCUAUUACUCAUUUAUAUUACAGUGCUGCCUACAAACCCCACUUGAGAUUAGGACCUCUUUGUGCUGUGUGCUGCACAACCCCAAAUUGAGAUUGGGUCCCCUUGCUCGGGCACUGCAUAAACACAGAGUGAGAAAGGGUUACAAUACAAAUAGACAAGAAAUGUUACCCAUUUCAAAGAUAGUGAAACUGAGGCACAGAGAAAUGAAGUGACUCAUUCAAGGUCACACAGGGAGUAAGUGUCAAACUGGGAAAUGAAGCCAGAUCUUGUGAGUUCCAGCCUAUGCCUUAGCCACAACAGCAGCCAACCUCUACUCAGCUGGGGCUCGGACCCCCUUUUGGAGCUGCAGAAUCUGAGUACUAACCCACUGUUACUGUGAUGUUCUCAGUAUCCAGGACUUGCUGCACAGAGACACCCAUGCAGUUCAGAUCACGUCAAGCCUGGAGAUUCAGCCAGGGAUUACCUGUUAAGGAGAAUAACGUCAAGAUUCUUGGCUGGAGAAAUACAACCAGUGACUAAUCCCAGGGUGGAGGUCUCCAGACAUGUCACACCUGACUUUUUGAUGGCAGUUGAUUUGAAUCAGAGGGAAUUAUGGAUUGAUACAUUUGAAGGAUUGGACAGUAAUUUAUUAGCAAUGUCUGCUAAUUUGGUGAACCAAGCAGCCCAGGAUGAGGGGUUAACUGUUAAGGAUGCAUUGGAGCACUGGAUAAUAUGCCAACAAAUGAUGAAAGGGGGAAGCCAGGUAGAAGGAUUAAAACCCAGAGUACCUUUUGUUGAAGCAAUAACACUCAGAUGAUAUCUCUCAGGAUACCGUGAGAGAGGAAGAGGCCAUGGUAGAGGACAAAACACCCCACUCCAAGGAGGUAGAGGGUAGAAUAAUCAAAAUGAGCCCCAGAAGGGAGUAGAUGUGAUUUGGAAUAUCACUUGAAGGUAUUUGAAAUUGAGAGGAGUAGAUAUGGAUAAGUGGGAUGGGAGACGUACUGAUGAACUUAUCAAUGAAAUGCAAAGGAUGGAAGAAGAAAUGUUUAAGGAGCAGAAAAAGGUUGCAGCUGUGCAAACUGAGGGUUCAGAGAACCCUGGUCUAUAGGAAAGCCCCGAUGACAAGUCACUCCCACUGGAAAUGGGUCCUCAGGAGUGGGAGAUGGUAACUAGAUGAAGAUGGGAUUCAAACGGGAGGCCUAGGACAACUGUCAUUGUGGGAGAUAAUGGACCCAAAGAUGCCCUCUUGGAUAGUGGGGCAGGUGUAAAUAUUGUCAAUAUAAAUUGUGAUUUGACUCAAUCUGUGUCAGAGAUUAUUAGAGCAGACUCCUUAAUUGGGAGUGACAGGGAAAAUGUAUCAUUCAGCAGAAAUAGCUCUACCCAGAGAAAGAGUGGGGGAUUUUUGUUGUAAAGAAUAAAUGCUUCAGACAGAUCAGCCAGCUGAGCCAAUAGCAUUGGGGACUCCCUUUUUUAAGAGGAAUCAGUUCGUUUGGGAUUUAACAGAUACUGCAGCAGCAGCUGGAGCCCUGGGCCAUUUUAAAUCACUGCCAGAGCCCCAGGUGGAGUGGGCCAGUCAGCAUGGAUAGGCUGUCUGGAGGAGGCUGACCCCCAGUCCCACUUUUCCACCUGCCCCUUCAGCUCAAGGCCCCAACUGUUCCAGAGGCCCAGAGCCAGGCCCCCAUAUUGAUAAGUGUUUAAUAUUACUUUCACCCCUGGUGCAAGGUCACACUGCACAGAGGAUGCUAUUUUUAAGGGUGUCUUGCUCCCAUGGGCCAGACCUUGGAUGUAGCAGGUGUACAAAGUCAUACUGGUGGGGCAGAGAAGUGCAUUCUCCAAAAUGGGGUCUCCCAUUUGAUACCAGAAAAAUCACCCCCAGUUUUUCCCACUACCGGAUGGGAGACAAACCGGCCAAAAAGAGGACCAUUUGGUUUGAAUCCAGACAAGUGGCCUUACUUGGCCAAACUGCCACGUGGCAUUAUGCCCUGUAUUCUUUAUUAUAAUAUUAUUAUGAUAUGAUUAUGGCAUAAUUCUGAUUUAUUAAAUGUAAGCUAGAUGAAGUAAGAUAUCAUUGGAAAGGCUAUGAUUCAGUGAAUAUGACUGUCCUAUUCCUAUGCAUGUAUCAUUUUGAUAUAUGAAGUUAGGAAUAUUGUGUAUACAUCUAUUGGAAAUUUGUUUAUACCUAGAGAAUGCCAACUAUGGAAAAUAGUCUUGCAAUCAGUCUUGAUGGCUGGCUUGGAAGGGUCAUUAGGAAGAACAAGAGGUCUUAGAAGAUGCUAAUCUCCCACCAGGGAGCCUUCCUGAGAAUCCUACAGCCUCCGAGUCCUGGCUGCUGUGUCCCUACACGGACAUGUGACCAAGUCACCUGGUACCAGACUCCAUCAUAGAAUACUAGUGUUUUCUCACUAAAAGGAGUGGGAACUAAAGUUAGAGACAAAGCAUUCCUGCCACAUGCAAAAGCAGGCAGGGGAGUGACAUCAUCACGGUUCUUCACUGACUCCCAACCCAAAGGAGACUCUUGGAAACACCUGAGAAACAAGGACUGAACCGGGGAGAAGGGCUGGACCCAGGCUAGAGGGAUUUCUAGCCUGUGAAAGGAAUACCUGGGUUUGAAGCUGCAAGCAGGUGCAGCUUGCUCUCAAGAAUCCCUGCAAACUGCCUAAAACAAUUAGGGUGACAAUUUGCUUCUCAUAUCCAAUUUCUUUAGUAUAUUAAGCUUAGAUUGCAUUUUUAUUUUAUUUGUUAGGUAAUCUGCUUUGAUCUGUUUACUAUCCCUUAUAAUCACUUAAAAUCUCUCUUUUGUAGAUAAUACAUUUAUUUUUGCGUUGUCUAAAACCAGUGUGUGGGGGAGUCAUUACCUGGGGCAAAAAGCUGAGGGAGGAGGUGAAUUUCAUGAGCUUAUGCUGUACAGUUCUUUGUGCAAGCGCAAGAUGGUAUAACUUUGGAGAAACUGGACAGUUCCUUAGCUGAACCUUCCCAUGCAGAGCUGAUCUCAGCAACUGUGUGUGAAGCUGCAGCUGGGUGUGUCCCUACCUGUAUGUGUACUGGAGAGGGCUUGAGAGCCUAUUGCAGCAGUACAGUGUAAAGGGAACCUGGGCUGGAUGGGCUCAAUGGUAUCUACUUUCAGGUGGCACCCCUGGGGGAACCUGUCACAUGUAAUUCAAACAUGUCCUGUAUAUCUCUCCAUUCUCUCGAACCUGCUGAAUCUUGAGAGUAUUUUCCAAAGUUAUCACAUUCAUGACCUGGUAAAGCUGUUAGACCUGCAAUAGAGGUCUCUUUAUGGGAAGGAGAUCAGGCAGAUAGCGGACACAAUGUUGGUAUAUAAUACUCUUUAUUGAUUACAAAAUAAACCUUAUUCACUAUACAUUCACACCCCAAACAUACUAUACCACAGUCCAAAGGUUAGAAUGGUCCCAAUGGCCUGUCGAAAUUCCUUCCGAUAAUAAGAUCAUAAGAUGUGGGGAGCCAUCAAAAAUCACAUCUAUAUCCAAACGGCGCUCUGGAUCAAUAAAGGACUCGAUCUGCAGAAAUUAUAGGCAACCAUUUAUGGUCCAUUCUGUCGCGUUAUUGGUUCUCUGCCCUUGUUUACUAGGCCUUCUACCUGCACAAUUCCAAAGAGACAAGACUGGGCAGCCACCAUAAUCCAAGGUGUGCCAUUUCCUCCAAUCCUUAUACAAUUUUAAAUCUGUCCAGCUGGUGUUGUUUCCUUUUCUGAUGGUUCAACAUUCUUUUCCCAGAACAUAAGAAGAUUGUUUUCACACAAAUAGUUCAAAUAGUUCUUGACCUUAAGUUCUUGCUUCGGUUAUCAAUUUGCAAAGCACUCAUUCAUGUCAAGUACGCGUCAUGCAUACCAGGCCUCAGCAUGCCUAUUACAUAUUACCUAUUACAAAGAUAUAUGAAUUACAAUGUGUGUGUGUGUGUGUGUGUAUGUGUGUGUAUAUACCUAUAGCCCAACAUUCCCCCCUCUUGAUACAUGAUUAAUGACAUUAAUUAUUGUAUCACUUUAUAAUUUAACAAGCAAUCCAAUUUUAUAUAUCACUUGCUCCAAAACUCCCUGUUGCUUCCGUAUCUGGGAGUAUAAGCAUAGCAUAAAAAAGCUUAACAAAAUCAUUAAUGGAAUUAAUAUGACAAUACGAUGGUGAUCAUUAAAUUUAGAAGAGCUGUGACGCUGGGAGACUAUCCUUUAAAAACGUCAUACCAAUGAGAAAUUGCCAGUUCUUUUUCUUCUUUCCCCAAUUUUAAUAUUUAACCAUUGUGGAUCAAAAUGUUUAUUUUUCCUUGCUGAGCAGACUUAGAUACAUCUUUCGCAUAUUGCCCAUUAGUUUUCCUAAAGCAACUCAAUCUUAUUAUGGAAGGAUUUGCCAUUACACCAUUUCCCAUAAUUUAAGAGCCAUUGACUCAUUCCAUCCCACAUGAGUAUUAGCCAAUUCUUGUUCAUCAGUCACAUCUAGGAUGACUACAUCAAAUCCAAAACUCCAAAAGGUAUAGUUCAGAGUACUCACAGUCAUAUAGAGGGAGGGAUAGCUCAGUGGUUUGAGCAUUAGCCUGCUAAACCAAGGGUUUAGCUCAAUCCUUGAGGGGGCCAUUUUGGGCAAAAAUUUGUCUAGGGAUUGGUCCUGCUUUGAACAGCGGGUUGGACUAGAUGACCUCCUCAGGUCCCUUCCAACCCUGAUAUUCUAUAUUGUUCUCAUCAUAACUAAAUCUAAACAUUAGGUGACCUUCUCCCUUAGUAUGUACAAAUACCUCCAUUGCUCUUCCAAAUCUUUUGGCUUUAGAUAUUCCGAUGUCACAUUUUUGCCAUCUUCCCACCAUAUUUCAAAUUCUAUCUCAAGAUUUUUAUUUACAUCUGGUUUUGUUUGUUCCUGUUUUACCCAUUCUGUCCCAUGAAUAGUCAAAUGUAUUAUUCCCUUUGAUCCAUACCUCCAUCCUAGAGGUGGUCCCACAUGUAUAUCCACGUACCCCUAAAUUUCCCCAAGUAUUCAAAAAACAUAAAAGCCAAAAUCCAUAUUUCUACUCUUUUUUAAUUAUGAGGAUGCUCAAUAUUGAAGCCAGGGCCAUUAUUCCAUAGCAAUAAUGUCAGACGCUUCUGGCCGUAUUAUUUUAAAUAUUUACACUAACCUCAUCUAUCUUCACUUGACUCCGGUACUAUUUUUUUAUUUCCUAAAAUAUAACACACACAACACAAUUCUUCUAAGCAGCACAAAAUGCAAGACAAAGUCAGCAUAAGCAAUAAGCCAGGUACAAAAAUUGUAGCACCGUAUGCACACUCCAGAUCCAAGGUCUGUACAGGAUAAUAUCUGGUACAAUUGGGUAUUCCUUUCCCUCUCUAACAUGAACUGAAAGAAAAAGAACAGAACAUUAUUUAAUCUUUAGGCAUAACUUGAAUUGUGAGGUGUGGAGCCACUUUCCUCUUUUCCCCUUCUUAAUCUGCACUACAGUAGGUGCAAUUUUAUUCAUGAUGGAAAAUGGUUCAACCCAUCUGGACUUCAGGACAUGAUUUUUCAAUAUUAAUUUCAAAUACAUUACUUUAUCUCUGAUUUUCCAUAAUUUACUGUCCUGAGCCAUAUGAGAAUCCACAUAAUCUCUUGCUUUUUCAAUGGUGUCAGUUAAUUUAAAUUCCAUUUUCUUAAAUUCUAUCAGUAACUCCAUUACCCACUGGGUAACUGAUAACUCCUCCUCCUCCUCCUCUUCUUCUUCUGGGUACAAUAAUGGGCUCCACAAUCUCAUAGAACUUCCAAAGAUAAUUUGAUAGGCUGGUAGCCAGUUCCCAAUCGAUCACUACUUCA